AGAUGAGACCCAAGUCCAGGGUGCAGCCUGGAAGUCUGAUUCCAGAGGAACAAAGAGACAAAUACCAACGUGGAUUCUGGCAGAGGGGAACAAUGCAGGUGCCCAGUGAGUAAAACUGGGGCACAAGAGGAAGGUUUAAUUACCGGAAAAAGAUAGCAGAUAUACUGCCCCAUGGUUCAGAGACACAGAUACAGACCCACUUCAUGGCAGGAUGCUUACCUUGGAUGCUUACAUUUGGUGUCAAGAUGAAGGGGGGGCCUUUCCUGGAUGUCACUGGGAUGCCACAGCAGGCCUGUAGAAGUCACAUUGCAGGAAAGACGUUGGGCUUCCCAGGAGGAAAAGGGAAAGGGCUGGGGAUGAAAGAUCAAGCUCCCAGACCAUGAGGUUGAGACCUCUGAAAGCCGCCCUUUUGGAAACAAUGUCCCCAGAAG
rnacentral:lncRNA from 1 species